CCCUAGCCCCGAUAGCAGUGGAAAUCCUACUGAGCCGGGUUCGGCGAUGUAGAUUGUAGCGAAUAGCGGGAAAUAGC
rnacentral:sRNA from 1 species